rnacentral:rRNA from 1 species
UAACGCGUGAGUAACCUGCCUUUCAGAGGGGGAUAACGUUCUGAAAAGAACGCUAAUACCGCAUAAGAUUGUAGUUUCGCAUGGAGCAGCAAUCAAAGGAGCAAUCCGCUGAAAGAUGGACUCGCGUCCGAUUAGAUAGUUGGCGGGGUAACGGCCCACCAAGUCGACGAUCGGUAGCCGGACUGAGAGGUUGAUCGGCCACAUUGGGACUGAGACACGGCCCAGACUCCUACGGGAGGCAGCAGUGAGGGAUAUUGGGCAAUGGGGGAAACCCUGCACCCAGCAACGCCGCGUGAGGGAUGACGGUUUUCGGAUUGUAAACCUCUGUCCUCUGUGAAGAUAGUGACGGUAGCAGAGGAGGAAGCUCCGGCUAAAUACGUGCCAGCAGCCGCGGUAAUACGUAGGGAGCAAGCGUUGUCCGGAUUUACUGGGUGUAAAGGGUGCGUAGGCGGAUUGGCAAGUCAGAAGUGAAAUCCAUGGGCUUAACCCAUGAACUGCUUUUGAAACUGUUAGUCUUGAGUGAAGUAGAGGUAGGCGGAAUUCCCGGUGUAGCGGUGAAAUGCGUAGAGAUCGGGAGGAACACCAGUGGCGAAGGCGGCCUACUGGGCUUUAACUGACGCUGAGGCACG